rnacentral:lncRNA from 1 species
UUGAAAAUCACACGAUUUCCCUUGUCACACAAUUGACUUAUGCUCAAGAGAUUGUGCUUAAGACCCUUAACUAAUAAAACAUUAUCAAUAGAGGAGGUAUCAUCCUUACCAACCGAACCAAUGCCGAUUAUUUUUCCUUUGCUAUUGUCUCCAAAGACUACGUUUCCUCCUUUGGCGGGUCUUGUUUGAAGAAAUUUGGAUGCAUCUCCGGUCAUGUGCUUGGAGCAUCCGCAAUCAAGGUACCAAAGUACACUUGAUGCCUUCAAGCACACCUACAUACCAACUCAAUGAGAUUUAGGUACCCAAGUCAUUUUGGGUCCUUGGGUGUUAGGUGCAAAGUGGUAGUGUGAUUGUUUAAUGGUGAGAUGUCUAUGCCUAGUAAAGCAAACCGGAGCUAUAUGACCUAUCCUAUUACAAUAAUGGCAAAUGACAUUCUGAUUAUGCAUUCUCCUAGGUUGAUAAUAGCUUCUAGGUGGUCUAAAUU